rnacentral:tRNA from 1 species
AAAAUUUUAAGUUAAAUAAACUAUAAAUUUUCAAAAUUUAAAAUAUAAAAUUAUUUAUAAAUUUUA